GUUAACUUCCGGGUCGAGAAUAAAAGGCCACCCGUGGCUUGAAAAGGAAAAAGGUUUAUGUUUCUGGAGGGAAGGAAAGAAGAACCGAACGACGCUUAGCCCAAGUCGCUUGAUCUGUCUUGCCAUUGGAGAAGUGUUUGUUUUGGGCUCCGAAAGUGACGGCCGAGGAACAGCCUUGGAAAGUUCUCGUAGGGCGACAGCUCCCGCCGAUGCAAGACUUGAUGAGACCAGUUUCUACGCAAGAGCUUGACCUGUUUCAGGUCCAGAGAAACUCAGUGACACUCUUGCUUCCCAACCUUCCUGGUCACUCUCAGAUAUUUCUGACUGAAAGUUUCCAUGGCGUCCGUUGCCAGGCCUUGUCUGCUCUUGGGGAAGAUGCUCUUCUGUACCCACCACAUCAGUAUCAGAAAAAACAAGAGCAGCUGAAGACAAACACAAUUUUCCUGAGGCAACAAAUAAACAAAACAAUGAGUGGUUGAAGUACGAAAAUGUAAUUAACAACUUCAAAUGUUCUGAGGAAAGGACCAGAGAGGAGCCAAAAGAACUGGACCCCAUGUUUGCCUAAAGGGGUCCAUAUUGUGACCUGAUGAAUCCAAAUGCUUACCUUUCUGCAGAUCAUUUGCAGAGUUCAUUUAACUUCAUUCAAAAUGACAGGUUAAAAAAAUUUGUUUUUAAUACCUCUAAACCCACCACCCAUAAGAAUCAUAAGAUAAACAGUAUAAAACACGUCAGUUCACACCCUCUUUCUCCACCCUAUCCUCCACGUGGCCCACUGGUAACCACAAACCUUUCGUCCAUAUCAUAAAAAGGGUAAAGUAUACAGUUUUUUUUAGACUUUUUCCCAUUCAGCAUUGUUAGUAAGAUUCAGUCUUGUAGUAUAUCCCAGUUCAAAUUGGAAGUAGCUUUGCUGAAUCCAAAGAGGUUGCUUACCGCUGCUCCAGCUGCUGCUGUUAAAAAUUCAUUUAGAUGCUGCUCCUAUUAGCACUGAAUCUACUGGAAAUAAAGUGGACCCUGUGUGAGACCUUUUGUUAGCCUGGAGACAGCUCCAUCAGUCCAGCAGCAAGGAUCAGGGAGUCUUUCCUAGGGGCACAUUUUCUUGGGACUGGUACCAAGCAAGGUGCCCUCUUUAUGGGUUCUUAUUCUUCCUCCUUGUCCCAAAGGACUAUACUAAGUGAAACUGAAAUGCGAUUCUGACUGGGUCUCUUCACCCAGUUUUUCAGUUGUGAAUUCUUGAAUCUAGAGUAGACAGACUUACUGUUAAAGGCAGGUAUCCCAGGUCAACAGACUGGCACUCCAAGGCCUCAGCCUCUACCUUUCCAUGCAGAAAAGCAUAAUCCAUAGAUAUUGUGAGGCAGGAUAUCAUGUAUGUAGACACGUAUUUCACCUCAGUCUAAAUCCUGGCCCUGUUGCCUCCUAGCUGUGCACCUUGGAUAAACACUACCCCCUCUAUGCUUCAAUUUUCUUGUGUAAAAUAAAGGCAACAGUACCCACUUUAUCUUGUAGGGUUGUUAGCAUUAAAUAAGCCGUUGUACACAAAGCACUUCAUACUAUGUGCUAAGCACUGCUCUCUGUGUAGUAGUAUCUUAUAUACAUAAUAAUAUAUAUUAGCACAUGUAUUUAUAUCUAUUGAGACUAUUCAGCAAAAGCUAACCUAGCCUCAUGGAAGCCCCUCUCUUCAGCUCCUGGUUAUUUCUCUUAAAACCUUUUGAAUAAAUAAAUGAAUCAAGACAUAUCACCAAUGCAUGAUCUUCAGCCAUGAACCACAAUGUUGGGUACAAGACUAAGACCACAAAAUCUUGUCGUCUGAGGUCAUGUCCAAAAGCAGGAAAGAUUGAAAACCUCCUGGGAAAGAGCUGUCCUCUCAGCAUAUUUUUCCUCCUUAGAAUGUGGUGACCUCCAUGACCCUAAGGGCUUAUGCUGCUGCUUCUGAGGUAGGAAGCAAGCUCUGGGUGCUCUGAUCUAUACCAAGCAUUGCUGCAUACCCCACUGUCAGUUAUAAUAAGGACUUGAGAGAACAGUUUCCCAGAGAAGUGACAGGAUUAGCCAAUACAAAGCUGUAGGCUGUGGAAGUCCAACACUACUUUCCAAGCACCAGUAGAAAGUAGUGACAUGGUAUUGUUUUAUCAUCUAGUUGAAAGUAAAAUAUUGACCAGAAUAAGAUUCUCGACCCACAGAGGAAAUCAAUACCAUUAACCAUGCCUCUCCUCCUCUAAUAUCUAUGAACCCAAUC